rnacentral:rRNA from 1 species
CCUACGGGUGGCAGCAGUGAGGAAUAUUGGUCAAUGGCCGGAAGGCUGAACCAGCCAUGCCGCGUGAAGGUCAGUGCCCUAUGGGCGUUAAACUUCUUUUGUGCGGGAGCAAUAAUGGUCACGUUUGGCCAGACGAGAGUACCGUACGAAUAAGCAUCGGCUAACCCCGUGCCAGCAGCCGCGGUAAUACGGGGGAUGCAAGGGUUAUCCGGAUUUAUUGGGUUUAAAGGGUGCGUAGGCUGGGAGGUAAGUCAGCGGUGAAAUGCCCGCGCUCAACGGGGUGAAGUGCCAUUGAUACUGGCUGGCUGGAAUGCGGAUGCCGUGGGAGGAAUGUGUGGUGUAGCGGUGAAAUGCAUAGAUAUCACACAGAACACCGAUUGCGAAGGCAUCUCACGAAUCCGCGAUUGACGCUGAUGCACGAAAGCGUGGGUAUCAAACAGGAUUAGAUACCCUAGUAGUC